rnacentral:rRNA from 1 species
UCCUACGGGGGGCAGCAGUGGGGGAUAUUGCACAAUGGGGGGAACCCUGAUGCAGCGACGCCGCGUGGGUGAAGAAGCGCCUCGGCGCGUAAAGCCCUGUCAGCAGGGAAGAGAAUGACGGUACCUGAAGAAGAAGCCCCGGCUAACUACGUGCCAGCAGCCGCGGUAAUACGUAGGGGGCAAGCGUUAUCCGGAUUUACUGGGUGUAAAGGGGGCGCAGACGGCGAUGCAAGCCAGGAGUGAAAGCCCGGGGCCCAACCCCGGGACUGCUCUUGGAACUGCGUGGCUGGAGUGCAGGAGGGGCG